rnacentral:rRNA from 1 species
GACGUAGGGCGCGAGCGUUGUCCGGAUUUAUUGGGCGUAAAGAGCUCGUAGGCGGCUUGUUGCGUCGACUGUGAAAACCCGCGGCUUAACUGCGGGCUUGCAGUUGAUACGGGCAGGCUAGAGUUCGGUAGGGGAGACUGGAAUUCCUGGUGUAGCGGUGAAAUGCGCAGAUAUCAGGAGGAACACCGGUGGCGAAGGCAGCUCUCUGGGACGGUACUGACGCUGAGACGCGAAAGCGUGGGGAGCGAUCAGG